rnacentral:rRNA from 1 species
GAUGAACGCUGGCGGCGUGCCUAAUACAUGCAAGUCGAGCGAACGGACGAGAAGCUUGCUUUUCUGAUGUUAGCGGCGGACGGGUGAGUAACACGUGGAUAACCUACCUAUAAGACUGGGAUAACUUCGGGAAACCGGAGCUAAUACCGGAUAAUAUUUUGAACCGCAUGGUUCAAAAGUGAAAGACGGUCUUGCUGUCACUUAUAGAUGGAUCCGCGCUGCAUUAGCUAGUUGGUAAGGUAACGGCUUACCAAGGCAACGAUGCAUAGCCGACCUGAGAGGGUGAUCGGCCACACGGGAACUGAGACACGGUCCAGAGUCCUACGGGAGGCAGCAGUAGGGAAUCUUCCGCAAUGGGCGAAAGCCUGACGGAGCAACGCCGCGUGAGUGAUGGAGGUCUUCGGAUCGUAAAACUCUGUUAUUAGGGAAGAACAUAUGUGUAAGUAACUGUGCACAUCUUGACGGUACCUAAUCAGAAAGCCACGGCUAACUACGUG